rnacentral:ncRNA from 2 species
CCAUAUCGGUCUUGCUCAGGUGCCCGCGCAAGCGGGAGAAUCGGGAAGCCGGUGAAAAUCCGGCACGUGCCCAACGCUGUGACGGGGACGGUUUUGUAUUUAUGAAUGUCUGAAUCAUUUCAGCGUUCUGCCACUGGAUCUUCAAGCGAUCCGGGAAGGUCGCAAAGCCGGUUGAUCCGCAGUCAGAAGACCGGCCUGACGAGAUAGACCAGC